GUCUUGCCACCCCAGAUGAUUGGGUAAUAUAUAUACACAUAAUGAAUAUAUAUGUUUAUAUAUAUAUAUAUAUAGAUAUAUAUAUAUAUAUAUAUAUAUAAUGUGUUUAUAUAUUACUCAAUCAUCUGGGAUGGCAAGAC